rnacentral:rRNA from 1 species
GUGGGGAAUAUUGGACAAUGGGCGAAAGCCUGAUCCAGCCAUGCCGCGUGUGUGAAGAAGGUCUUCGGAUUGUAAAGCACUUUAAGCGAGGAGGAGGCUACCGAGAUUAAUACUCUUGGAUAGUGGACGUUACUCGCAGAAUAAGCACCGGCUAACUCUGUGCCAGCAGCCGCGGUAAUACAGAGGGUGCAAGCGUUAAUCGGAUUUACUGGGCGUAAAGCGCGCGUAGGUGGCCAAUUAAGUCAAAUGUGAAAUCCCCGAGCUUAACUUGGGAAUUGCAUUCGAUACUGGUUGGCUAGAGUAUGGGAGAGGAUGGUAGAAUUCCAGGUGUAGCGGUGAAAUGCGUAGAGAUCUGGAGGAAUACCGAUGGCGAAGGCAGCCAUCUGGCCUAAUACUGACACUGAGGUGCGAAAGCAUGGGGAGCAAACAGGAUUAGAAACCCUAGUAGUCC